rnacentral:rRNA from 1 species
AACGUAAGAGACGAACGUUAUCCGGAGUUACUGGGCGUAAAGGGCGUGUAGGCGGUUUGUUAAGUCUGGCGUGAAAGCUCUCGGCUAAACCGGGAGAGGUCGUUGGAUACAGGCGAACUAGAGGAUGGUAGAGGCGUGUGGAAUUCCGGGUGUAGUGGUGAAAUGCGUAGAGAUCCGGAGGAACACCAGUGGCGAAGGCGACACGCUGGGCCAUACCUGACGCUAAAGCGCGACAGCAUGGGGAGCAAACGGG